UAAUACGUAGGGUGCGAGCGUUGUCCGGAAUUAUUGGGCGUAAAGAGCUCGUAGGCGGUUUGUCGCGUCGACUGUGAAAACUGGGGGCUUAACUCUCAGCUUGCAGUCGAUACGGGCAGACUUGAGUUCGGUAGGGGAGACUGGAAUUCCUGGUGUAGCGGUGAAAUGCGCAGAUAUCAGGAGGAACACCGGUGGCGAAGGCGGGUCUCUGGGCCGAUACUGACGCUGAGGAGCGAAAGCGUGGGGAGCGAACAGGAUUAGAUACCCUGGUAGUCCACGCUGUAAACGUUGGGCGCUAGGUGUGGGGAGCAUUCACGCUUUCCGUGCCGUAGCUAACGCAUUAAGCGCCCCGCCUGGGGAGUACGGCCGCAAGGCUA
rnacentral:rRNA from 1 species